CAUUACUGACACUAAGGCACGAAAGCGUGGGGAGCAAACGGGAUUAGAUACCCCGGUAGUCCACGCCGUAAACUAUGGAUGCUAGCUGUGACACACAUCGACCUGUGUCGUAGCGAAGUUAACGCGUUAAGCAUCCCGCCUGGGGAGUACGGUCGCAAGAUUAAAACUCAAAGGAAUUGACGGGGACCCGCACAAGCGGUGGAGCGUGUUGUUUAAUUCGAUGGUAAGCGAAGAACCUUACCAAGGCUUGAAAUCCCGAUAGCAGUUCAUCGAAAGAAGAACCUCAUUUAGUUGGAUCGGUGACAGGUGAUGCAUGGCCGUCGUCAGCUCGUGUCGUGAGAUGUAUGGUUAAGUCCAUUAACGAGCGCAACCCUUAUGUUUAGUUGGAUUUUUCUAAACAGACUGCCAUGGCAACAGGGAGGAGGGAGGGGAUGACGUCAGGUCAGUAUUUCCCUUACGUCUUGGGCUACAAACACGCUACAAUGGCCGGUACAAAGGGCAGCGAACCCGCGAGGGGAAGCAAAUCUCAUCAAAACCGGUCUCAGUUCGGAUUGCAGGCUGAAACUCGCCUGCAUGAAGCUGGAAUCGCUAGUAACGGUAGGUCAGCACACUACCGUGAAUACGUUCCCGGGUCUUGUACACACCGCCCGUCAAACCAUGAAAGUGGCCAACACCCAAA
rnacentral:rRNA from 1 species